GGAAGUAAAAGUCGUAACAAGGUUUCCGUAGGUGAACCUGCGGAAGGAUCAUUACUGAUUUAGCGAACCGAGCGUUAGCGAGGUUUUGCGAUUAACUUGUAUUUAAAACCCACUCUUCAAUGUAUAAAAUUUGUAUUAAUGAUAAAUUAAAAGAUCACUUUCAACAACGGAUCUCUUGGCUCUCGCAUCGAUGAAGAACGUAGCGAAGUGCGAUAAGUAAUGUGAAUUGCAGCAUUCCGUGAAUCAUCGAACCUUUGAACGCAUAUUGCACUUUCUGGUAUUCCGGAAAGUAUGCCUGUUUGAGGGUCAGUUAAAUAAAAAUCGGUGUUGUUGCCGCUUUCCGUGGUGACGCGUCGGAAUUGAGUCGUCUUCGGUUAAGUGACUUAAAAUUUUAUAUGAUUUUCGAACGUAUUUAAAUUUAUUUGAACGUUUGAUAUCGAAUGCUUAUUAGGUUCGGUCAUCCUCAUGACUCGCGCCUAUAAUUUUUCAUUAAAUGACCUCAAAUCAGGUAAGAAUACCCGCUGAACUUAAGCAUAUCAAUAAGCGGAGGA
rnacentral:rRNA from 1 species